GCCCAGACUCCUACGGGAGGCAGCAGUGGGGAAUAUUGCACAAUGGGGGAAACCCUGAUGCAGCGACGCCGCGUGAGUGAAGAAGUAUUUCGGUAUGUAAAGCUCUAUCAGCAGGGAAGAAGAAGGACGGUACCUGAGUAAGAAGCCCCGGCUAACUACGUGCCAGCAGCCGCGGUAAUACGUAGGGGGCAAGCGUUAUCCGGAUUUACUGGGUGUAAAGGGAGCGUAGACGGCGAUGCAAGCCAGAUGUGAAAGCCCGGGGCUCAACCCCGGGACUGCAUUUGGAACUGUGUGGCUGGAGUGUCGGAGAGGCAGGCGGAAUUCCUAGUGUAGCGGUGAAAUGCGUAGAUAUUAGGAGGAACACCAGUGGCGAAGGCGGCCUGCUGGACGAUGACUGACGUUGAGGCCCGAAAGCGUGGGGAGCAAACAGGAUUAGAUACCCCAGUAGA
rnacentral:rRNA from 1 species